rnacentral:rRNA from 1 species
GAUGAACGCUAGCUACAGGCUUAACACAUGCAAGUCGAGGGGAAACGAUGAGAGAGCUUGCUCUCUUAGUCGUCGACCGGCGCACGGGUGAGUAGCGCGUAUCCAACCUGCCUCUGACCAAGGGAUAACCCGUCGAAAGUCGGACUAAUACCUUAUGCAGUCGUCGGAAGUCAUCUGAUGACGACGAAAGAUUUCAUCGGUGAGAGAUGGGGAUGCGUCUGAUUAGCUUGUUGGCGGGGUAACGGCCCACCAAGGCGACGAUCAGUAGGGGUUCUGAGAGGAAGGUCCCCCACAUUGGAACUGAGACACGGUCCAAACUCCUACGGGAGGCAGCAGUGAGGAAUAUUGGUCAAUGGGCGUAAGCCUGAACCAGCCAAGUAGCGUGCAGGAUGACGGCCCUAUGGGUUGUAAACUGCUUUUAUGCGGGGAUAAAGUGAGGGACGUGUCCUUCAUUGCAGGUACCGCAUGAAUAAGGACCGGCUAAGUCCGUG